CGGCAAAAUUAAGCGUGAGGGAGGCUAUGGAAUGGUCUAACGGUAGAAGGAUCGUGCUCAAGUUCAACAAUGAAAAGCAACCAAUUGGAGACGAAGCUAGAUUGUUGAGUGGCGUGCUUGGUCUGCUGGGAUCUAACUAUGAAAAAUUUUCUAUCUGUAAGGAAAGUUGGCAUAAGAUUACCACUAAAGACAAGGUUUAUAACGAAUGUGUUAAGCAAAUUUUCCACUUUGAUGAAGAUAGUGAAGGAACUAUCAAGAAAAAUAUUUUG